rnacentral:rRNA from 1 species
GUCUACAGUCAUGCCACCUGGAAUGUGCCAGAUCUCGUCUGAUCUCGGAAGCUAAGUAGGGUCGGGCCUGGUUAGUACUUGGAUGGGAGACCACCUAGGAAGACCAGGUGCUAUAGGUG